rnacentral:siRNA from 1 species
GCUUAGUGGUUAUCCUAUG